AGCAGCAGCCACGGUAAUACAGAGGGUGCGAGCGUUAAUCGGAUUUACUGGGCGUAAAGCGUGCGUAGGCGGCUUCUUAAGUCGGAUGUGAAAUCCCUGAGCUUAACUUAGGAAUUGCAUUCGAUACUGGGAAGCUAGAGUAUGGGAGAGGAUGGUAGAAUUCCAGGUGUAGCGGUGAAAUGCGUAGAGAUCUGGAGGAACACCAGUGGCGAAGGCGGCUCACUGGUCCAUUACUGACGCUGAGGAGCGAAAGCAUGGGGAGCGAACAGGAUUAGAUACCCGAGUAGUCCCUGUCUCUUAUAC
rnacentral:rRNA from 1 species